rnacentral:lncRNA from 1 species
GUAUAUACAUAACAUAUAUAAAAAUGCAAUAUUUAAAGAUACAUACACACAAUAUAUAUAAAAUGUUAAAAUAUUUACAUAGUAUAUACAUAUUAAAAAUAAUGCUAAAAGACAACUCUUAAUAUUACUACAUGACUACAUACAUGUAGCACCCCAAACCCGGCCCAGAAGUUAUGGCCGGAUCCGGCAUGCCACAUCAAAAACGUAAAAAAAAAAUUCCAUUCUAAGUCCAGAAAAUCGUACUUGAUGUUCAAAAGAUUAAUUCAUUAAAGGUUAAAGUGAAUGGAAGCUAUGCACUAGGUAGGAAACCGGAAAAGAGGUGGUGAGUCCAUUGGACUGCUUAAGUACCAAGCUCCCUUCGGAUCCAAUCCUAGACAUGCAUACCGCCAUUGCCACACCUUAACGUCAUGGAUAUUUCUAGGAAACCGAUUUGAUUAAGUCAUUUUUAGGAAAAGUGAUUAAUUUUGGAAAAAUACUUUCAUUGCGGAAGCUUUGCUUGUUGUCGUUUUAUUUUGAAAUCAACUGUUGUUUUUGAAAACGCGCCCUAAAGCUAUCCAAUUUCAACAGUUAAAAUAAGUAUUACCUAUCUUAGUAAUACAUAUUAAAACCAUCAAAAAUAAUUAAGCGGCCUUAUUACAUUUAAAAGCCCAAAAACUUCAAACGUAAAUAAAAGGAUGUCCAGUUCACCAGAAGAAAAUCAAACUUUCAGAACGGGUGGCCACUCCGAAUUCCCUCACAGCUCCAAGCCCACUAUGGUUGGGGAUUUCCUACGUGGAUGAAAAUAAAAGGGGUGAGUUUGGGGAAACUCAGUGUGUAAGGAAAACCCAUUCAAAGCCCAAGUCAGCUCAAGCCUAUUGGGCCUAAGCCCAUUCAGGUAACAGCGGUACUGGGCCAGAGCCCUUUUUAGAUUACAAUAAACUGGGCCUUAACCCCUUAUUCAGAUAACAGUAUGGCCCAUAGGCCUAUUUUAAAAUACAUGCAACAUCGGUAAACAUAUGCAAGCCCAUUUGGGGAGACUACUCAACCCACCAACCACUACACUCCACCCGUACCAGCCAUACACUCCAUGUGAGGAUAGCUCAACCCACCCAGCCCAACAUUCCACAGUUGCAGCAUUGCUGCUCAGUUAACAGUAAAUUGAGGCAAAGCCUCCAGUACGUGGACAAGCCACUUUCAGUACUUCCUCCGUCAAUAUCCCAAUCCCAUGCAUCAGAUAAUAACAACAUGGCAUACAGUAAAUAACAACAGUCAAACAUGCAUUUAGGUCAAUUUAACCCUAGGGGUAUUUCGGUAAUUUAUCUACUAGGGGUAAAACUAUAAAUUUUUCACUUUUAAAGGUAUUUCAGUAAUUUAUCUAGUUUAGGGUUUUUCAUGCAUAUUUCUACCUUUCACGUACUACUGAAUCACGUACCGAGGGUUCUUACCGAAUUGGGCCCGUUGGCCCAUCAUUCCAAUUUUGGCCCAUUAAGCCCAAAAAUAUCGAGGGCACAGAAAUCAUGCACUUUGCAGUCCAAACAUUGCAGCUUACCAAAAACAUUAAUCGAUUUACCUCAUGAGCAUUCGCACACUCGCAAAUCUACAAAAUACCAGUUUUCGGCAUUUCAGCUUUUUGGCUUUUGCCGAUCUAGACUAAGAAAGAGGGUGUUAGUUACAUACCUGUUUGCGACGAUAUGCUGACGAGAUCCACACACGAACCGCCUACAAUUGGAUUACUAACAUGUUAAUCUAACUAUUCAAAUACAAACUACGUAUUAACCCCUUACAAUAUUCGGCCAACCACACCUACAGAUCAUAGUAAGCUUAUAAGAAAUCAAUAAGCAACUCAUUAACAAAUUUUUGUCAAUGUUUACCACAUAAUCAUAAUUUCCCUGCAAGCUGUCUUCCUGAGCAACAAUCACUAAAUUAUUUAUAACUGGAGCUAGGAAACUCCAAAUCAAGUUCCAUUAAUUUUCCAUGAAAAUAGACUAAUAUAUCUUCUAUCCAUAAAAUUUUCAGAAUUUUUGGUUUAGCCAAUCAAUACCAGAUUUUUCUCAAAGUUUCCCAUGUUUCACUGUUUGACUAAUCUGACCACUCUUCAUUACGAAUAAAAUUUCUCAUUGUACAGAAUUCAAAAUAUGUUCUUGUUUAUUUCAUUAGAAACUAGACUCAAUAAGCUUUAAUUACAUAAUUUAUUCAACUUCUAAUUCAUCUCCCACAAUUUAUGGUGAUUUUCCAAAGUCACGUUACUGCUGCUGUCCCAAGCAGAUUUAUUACCAAAUCACUCUUUCACACAUACCUUGCAUGCAUGUUAUUUAAACAUGUAUAUCACCAAUCAAUCAUCACAUAUCUAUGAUUUUACUUAAGAAUAAUCUCCAUUUCAUCAUUUUAAAGCACAACAUGUUAGCUGAUUUUUCCCUUUAACAUCUAAGGCACAUGCAUGCUCAUUUGUUUGGCUCAACUUCACCUAUCUUCCAUUUUUCAUCAAAAGAACAUGAAACAACAACCAUUUCAUUCAUUUUAAUUCAUGACUAAAUGCUCACAACACAACUAAAAAUCAAACUAUGCUUCAAGAGUUAAGAUAGAAUCAAGAUGAACUCAUGAACCUCAAAAUAGAAACAAGGUACCAAGAACUUACCUUCAAUUUUCCUCCUCCUAAUGACCGAAUACUCAAGAGCUUUCUCCUCUCCUUUCUCUUCUCUAACUUUCAGCUAUGAUGAACAAAGAUGGACAAAACUUUGUUCUUUUCACCCCUUUUUCUUUUAAUAAAACUUCAUAUU